AGCGUAUAUUAAAGUUGUUGCAGUUAAAAAGCUCGUAGUUGGAUUUCGGAAGGUCCUUAGYAGUCCGCCCCUUCGGGGAGCGGGCUGCUGGCCUCCUAUGUUCCUAACGGUCCUCAUCCGCGAGGGUGGGGAAUCAACCGCUAGGAUCGUUUACUUUGAGGAAAUUAGAGUGUUCAAAGCAGGCGUAACUCGCCUCCGAAUACGUUAGCAUGGGAUAAUGGAAUACGACUUCGGUCUUGUUUCGUUGGUUUCGCUUGGCUGAAGUAAUGAUUGAUAGGGACAGUUGGGGGCAUUAGUAUUUAGUUGUCAGAGGUGAAAUUCUAGGAUUUACUAAAGACUGACCAAUGCGAAAGCAUUUGCCAAGGAUGUUUUCAUUAAUCAAGAACGAAAGUAGGGGGAUCGAAGACGAUCAGAUACCGUCGUAGUCUCUACCGUAAACUAUGCCGACCAGGGAUCCGGAGAGUUUGCAUGGAUGACUCCCCGGGCACCUUGUGAGAAAUCAUAAGUGUUUGGGUUUUGGGGGGAGUAUGGUCGCAAGGCUGAAACUUAAAGGAAUUGACGGAAGGGCACCACCAGGAGUGGAACCUGCGGCUUAAUUUGACUCAACACGGGGAAACUUACGAGGUCAGGACACUGUGAGGAUUGACAGAUUGAAAGCUCUUUCUUGAUUCAGUGGGUGGUGGUGCAUGGCCGUUCUUAGUUGGUGGAGUGAUUUGUCUGGUUAAUUCCGUUAACGA
rnacentral:rRNA from 1 species